rnacentral:rRNA from 1 species
CAACUUUUGACAACGGAUCUCUUGGCUCUCGCAACGAUGAAGAACGCAGCGAAAUGCGAUAAGUAAUGUGAAUUGCAGAAUUCCGUGAAUCAUUAAAUCUUUGAACGCACAUUGCGCUUCCUUGGAAGCAUGUCUGUUUGAGAAUCAGUU